rnacentral:rRNA from 1 species
GCGUUGUCCGGAUUUAUUGGGCGUAAAGGGCUCGCAGGCGGCUGGCCAAGUCGUGCGUGAAAUCUCUCGGCUCAACUGAGAGCGGUCGUGCGAUACUGGUCAGCUUGAGGCCGGUAGGGGGAAGCGGAAUUCCGGGUGUAGUGGUGGAAUGCGUAGAUAUCCGGAGGAACACCAGUGGCGAAGGCGGCUUCCUGGACCGGUCCUGACGCUCAGGAGCGAAAGCGUG